CUUGGGUUCAAAUUCACUGACCUUUCUGUGUGGAGUGUGCAUGUCCUGUCUGUGCCUGCAUGCCUUCUCUGUGGUUACUCUGGUUUCCUCCCACAGUCCAAAGACAUGCAUGUUAAGUUAACUGGUGAAUCUAAAGUGUAAAUCGUUGUCUGUCUCUCUGUGUUGGCCCUGCGACAGACUGGUGACCUGACAGCUGUGACAUGCUCCAGACCCAUCUUAACCCUGAACUGGAUGAGCAGGAGGCACUGUUGCUGUGUAUGAGUGCAAACACUUGACCAACCCUUUGUUCAUGUUUUAACAAAAAGUACGGCGGUCUUAAACAGUGACUGAGACAACUUACAUGUUGAGACAGUUGUCUUCUGCAUGGAUUCACAGAGCAUGACGCACACAAGCUGCGAGACAUGCUAUCUUACACACAUGUUCUCUAAUUUGUGCAUAUGGCUUCACUCGUACAUGCAGAUGAAUGCUGUUAAUAUUUGUACACGAGCUCCCGAAAUGCCAACAUGCAUUUGACUAAGCAAGCUGAGUCGAGUGCCGAGUGCUCACAGUGCCGCUGGUUCAAAUCUGUAGGUGGAUGCAUCUCAAACCUCCGCCCUAUUGUUCUUCUCAUUUGCGGCUGAACAACAUCAUUUUUCACUUUUCUCGCCGUCCGUCAGGGCUCUCCUUCACUGAUACAUAAAUAGUCUGUCAGAGUGAGGUUAGAAACCUCCAGCUCAGCUGUUUCGGAGAUGAAACCACUCCCACCCUUACCCACGCACAUUUUUACAUCCAUACUCUCACAGUGGGAUCUCUAUAGCUGUCGCACACACACAUGCUCUCACAGUGUACACUCAUCUCUCACUUUCACUGGAAAGGAUAGCGCUCUCUCUCUGUCUCUCUCUCUCAGUGUAUACUGUGUCUCUCUCAGAUGCAGUUAGGUCUCUCAUUCUCAUGAAGCGCAGCUCCUCUCUGUUUCUGGAUGCACUCUAAGUCAGAGCGUAGGACAAGACAGACCGCAUCCUAAGAACUGGUUUCUUUCUUCGCAUACAGCCGGCAGUAGCAAUUCCCGGCUGUGAGUGGGGCCUUCAUGGAUUCUCCGUACAACGGCAACACGUCCUUGCAGACGUCCACGUCCAACCUCAACGCCGGCUAUUCGCGGCCCUCGGAAGCCGAGGAUGACGGCAAAGUGUCCAGUGACACCAUUUGGCUGUGGAUUGCUGUCCUGGCAACAAUUGGCAACAUAGUGGUGGUGGCUGUGGUUUGUGCCUGUGCCUUCUGACAAAGUAGAAGAGUGGAACAAAAAAAUUCUGCUGCUGUCGGACAUAGCAACUCUUGUAUAUUUUGAAAAUAUACUUUCUCUAGAAAUGUUGUAAAAUAGCCUUACUUUAAGACUGAUCCCAUGGAUUAUUUUUCUUUUAAAUAUAAGCAUCAGUUUGAAUUUUGCAGAGGAAUUUGCAUGGGAGUCUUUAUUCCCACAGCCCCGUCACCCCACUCCUUUUUCAAAACGUAAAAUCAGCGAUCAUAUUGAAAUAAUUAGCUCACAGAAUCUUUCUGUUCAUUUGUACAGUUCAACAACCACAAAAGGAAAGCAACAAUUAAGGUUGUGAUAUAUGUUGGUACAGAAGUUCACUUUAACGUAAAAUGUGAUGAAAUGGCUCAUUGGCCAAACUCAGAUGACGUGCAUGUACAUCAUGUAGUUUGUUACACGAUGCAGGAACUUUUCUCUUUUUUUAAAAUUUCCAAAGUGAAAACUACAUAUUACAGUUAAAAACAGACCUUUGUUCCCUUAUGCAAUGCACAGAUUUAAAGACAUUUCUGCUGUUACCCUUGUUCUGCCUGUUUCUAGAAUGCUUCAUUUGAGAGCACUAUCAUAAUUCAUUGGUUUCCUUUGUGUGUAACCUGUUUAAUAUGCAUUAAAACCAUGGCUAUGA